rnacentral:misc_RNA from 1 species
GGAUCAUCCCAGAUCUCCAACUUCAUCGUUCAAAUCACCCUUUUUUUCAACUUCGAAGUCGAAAUUGCUUCCAUUGAAGCUCCAAAAUCCAUAUGAAACAGUUGCAAAGUAGUGGAAGAAGAGAGUGAUGAUAAUACUAUGGCGGCAACGACAAGGCCGGGGGUUCUCAAGUCCGAAGCUGUUUCCAAAGGCUAUAAUUUCGCUUCUACUUGGGAACAG